CCUACGGGAGGCAGCAGUAGGGAAUAUUGCUCAAUGGGGGAAACCCUGAAGCAGCAACGCCGCGUGGAGGAUGAAGGUAUUCGGAUCGUAAACUCCUUUUGUUAGAGAAGAUAAUGACGGUAUCUAACGAAUAAGCACCGGCUAACUCCGUGCCAGCAGCCGCGGUAAUACGGAGGGUGCAAGCGUUACUCGGAUUCACUGGGCGUAAAGAGCGCGUAGGCGGGAUGGCAAGUCAGGUGUGAAAUCCUGUGGCUUAACCAUAGAACUGCAUUUGAAACUGUUGUUCUAGAGUAUGGGAGGGGUAGGUGGAAUUCUUGGUGUAGGGGUAAAAUCCGUAGAGAUCAAGAGGAAUA
rnacentral:rRNA from 1 species